rnacentral:tRNA from 1 species
GUCUCAGUAGCGUAGUGGUUAACGCAUGGCCCCAGUUAGAAGCGAGACGCGGGUUCGAAUCCCAUUUGAGAUG